rnacentral:lncRNA from 1 species
AUAUGCUUCUACUAUUGUUUUGGUAGUUGUUUGACGUGGAAUUCAAUUUGUGGAAAGAAUGGGAGAAGCUCAAUCCAAAGUUGGGGAAGUAGUUAAAGUGACAGAAAACCUGACAAAUUUGCAGGCUUUUCAAAGGAGGAAAUAUGGUUCAGUUCCUGAAAAUUUGGAAUACCUUCCCGGUCUCCUUGGUGAAGUAAUAGAAGAAACCGCGUCUGGUUGUAUAGUUGUGAAAUUUGGAUCAAAACUAGGAAAUUUUAUUCUUCCUGCUUCUUAUGUCAGCAGGUACACUAGGAAUUAACAUCCAGAGCGUUCAUUUUUCGGUUGGCUAUAUGGAAAGAAAUAAUUGAAAAGAAUCACAGCAAUGAUGACUCUUCCAUUCCUCUUUUUACUCCUUGACUGUCUCUCUGUUUCCCAGUCUGUCUGUCUGUCUGUCUGUCUGUCUGUCUGUCUGUCUGUUUGCCUGACUGUCUCUAUGUAUGUGUGUGUGUGUGUGUGUGUGUGUGUGUGUGUGUGUGUGUGUGUGCGUGUAUCUUCUUCCUCUUGCUGUCUGAAAUUUGUGCUUUACGUCUUCCGCCAAGAAUACAUAUCACCUCCCCCUAUCUCUCCCUCUUUCUCUGUAUUUCUUGCACAUUUUAACAAAUUUCCUCUUAUCUAUAAUCAUCCUCGGUAACUCCAUAAUUCUUCUUAGAUCCCUCCUUCAUUAUAUACUGACACAGAGACCGAACCUUUCGCUAUGUUCAACUCCCUGCAUCUGGUUAUUUCACCACUUACAUCAAUCUCUGAUCAACAGAUAGGUACCCUUCUACAACACAAGGACAUAUUCACUACCCAUGAUCAACAAACAUAAACGUCACAUACACUAGACCUAACUAUCUCUCAGAGACUUGUGCUGACAAACAUACACCGUUUAAUAUUAAAAAAACAAUGCAUCACUAAGAAUGUUAAUCCACUUCGAGUUCAGAAAAGAUGCUAACUCACAACAAAUCUCUGCUAACUCACAACAAAUCUCUGCUAACUCACAACAAAUUUCUGCUAACUCACAACUAAUCUCAUCCAAAGCCACAGUAAACUACCAAUGCUGAUGCUACACAGGUUAACAACUUAGACAGGCUUCAAAAUAGGCAACUCAUCGUAUGGAUAAAGUUGCUCGCUAUCACUCUAACCUUCAAACCACAAAUGUAAUUUCUUCUUUCUCUUCCUUUUCUAUUUCUACUGAAAUCUCGAUAAUUGCAUAAGAAAAUCCAGUUUCAUUCGUAUCUCUUGCCCUUCGUUCACAUUGUGCUUUUUCUUUUGUCCUAUUUCAACUGGGUGACUGGACAGAUUACCUACUAUGGUAAAUUGUAACAUCGAUCGUUACAACAUCAAUAAAUAUUUUUACAACUUGA